rnacentral:rRNA from 1 species
CACGUAGGGCGCGAGCGUUGUCCGGAAUUAUUGGGCGUAAAGAGCUCGUAGGCGGCCUGUUGCGUCCGCUGUGAAAGCCCGGGGCUUAACCCCGGGUCGGCAGUGGAUACGGGCAGGCUAGAGGUAGGUAGGGGAGAAUGGAAUUCCCGGUGUAGCGGUGAAAUGCGCAGAUAUCGGGAGGAACACCGGUGUCGAAGGCGGUUCUCUGGGCCUUACCUGACGCUGAGGAGCGAAAGCGUGGGGAGCGAACAGG